UAACAAUCCAAUCCCAGUAUCAGGUUUAGGGAGUAGUACGAAUUCUCAAACAACCAAAAGAACAACAACAACUACUAAUAAGAAGCUUAAAAAAGAAACCCCACCUUCAGUUGGAGCACCUGUCAAGGUGAAGAAAGAAAAAAUCGGAGAAAGAAUUGCAGCAUUGCAACAACUAGUCUCACCAUUUGGAAAGUAAAAGAUAAUACGAGGAAUCUGAGUUUGCAAAGCUAAUGAAGGGUUUAGUGAGUGGUUCUUCCUCCUAAUUUGAAAUCCAAACUAAUUUUCAGCAGUUAAGAUCUAGGAUACCAACACUGCUGCUCAAUUUCAGGUGAUUCAAUGUCCCCAGUUGUUAAAAAGAUUUAUUUGGUGAUCUUAGUACUUAUUCCAUCAUCGUAGAUGAUGAUUGAAGAAGAAGGUCAAUAUGAAGAGCUUUUGGUGAUGUCUAUUGUUAUAUGAAGAAAAAGGUCAGUGAAG